GUUUCGGCGGGCGUUUCCCUCGGACCAGGAGUACCGAGGGAUGAGACGUCAGCACCUCGCAGAACCUCAUCGCAAACGCCUUAACAAGUCAAGUAGAAUGUAUAAAGUUAACAAGUACAACUUUCAACAACGGAUCUCUUGGCUCUCGCAUCGAUGAAGAACGCAGCGAAAUGCGAUAAGUAAUGUGAAUUGCAGAAUUCAGUGAAUCAUCGAAUCUUUGAACGCACCUUGCGCUCCUUGGCAUUCCGAGGAGCAUGCCUGUUUGAGUGUCAUGAAAUCAUCAACCCAGAGUGCUUUGUGUGCUUCUGUGGAUUGGACUUUUGGGGGCUUGCCGGCCGUGAGGUCGACUCUCCUUGAAUGCAUUAGCCAGACCGUCUGGGGGAAUCACGGCGUGAUAAGCUUUGCGCCGUUUGCCUCUCCUUGACCGCCCGCUUCUAAUCGUCUUCGGACAACUACGUCAAACUUCUGGCCUCAAAUCAGGUAGGACUACCCGCUGAACUUAAGCAUAUCAAUAAGCGGAGGAAAAGAAACUAACAAGGAUUCCCCUAGUAACUGCGAGUGAAGCGGGAAGAGCUCAAAUUUAAAAUCUGGCGGCGUUAGCCGUCCGAGUUGUAAUCUGGAGAAGUGUUUUCCGCGUUGGACCGUGUACAAGUCUCUUGGAACGGAGCGUCGUAGAGGGUGAGAAUCCCGUCCAUGACACGGACAAACCAAUGCUUUGUGAUACGCUCUCAAAGAGUCGAGUUGUUUGGGAAUGCAGCUCAAAACGGGUGGUAAAUUCCAUCUAAAGCUAAAUAUUGGCGAGAGACCGAUAGCGAACAAGUACCGUGAGGGAAAGAUGAAAAGCACUUUGGAAAGAGAGUUAAACAGUACGUGAAAUUGUUGAAAGGGAAACGCUUGAAGUCAGUCGCGUCUGCCGGGACUCAGCCUAGCUUUUGCUUGGUGUACUUUCCGGUCUUGACGGGUCAACGUCGAUUUUGACCGGCGGACAAGGGUGAGGGGAACGUGGCACCUCCGGGUGUGUUAUAGCCUCUCACCGUAUGCGUCGGUCGGGAUCGAGGACCGCAGCGUGCCUCCUGGAGGCCGGGGCUUCGGCCCACGUCACGCGCUUAGGAUGUUGGCAUAAUGGCUUUAAGCGACCCGUC
rnacentral:rRNA from 1 species